rfam:Streptomyces luteus strain TRM 45540 genomic scaffold Scaffold2, whole genome shotgun sequence.
GCCGGUCCUCGGUAGUGGCCCCCGGGGACAGCACCCCGGGUGCUUCGAUCGAAGACCGGC